AUUGAACGCUGGCGGCAGGCCUAACACAUGCAAGUCGAGCGGAGCGGCGGACGGGUGAGUAAUGCCUAGGAAUCUGCCUGGUAGUGGGGGAUAACGUCCGGAAACGGGCUCUAAUACCGCAUACUCUCAGAUGAGCCUAGGUCGGAUUAGCUAGUUGGGGGGGUAAAGGCCUACCAAGGCGACGAUCCGUAACUGGUCUGAGAGGAUGAUCAGUCACACUGGAACUGAGACACGGUCCAGACUCCGACGGGAGGCAGCAGUGGGGAAUAUUGAACAAUGGGAGAAAGUCUGAUACAGCCAUGCCGAGUGUGUGAAGAAGGUCUUCGGAUUGUAAAGCACUGUAAGUUGGGAGGCGUUACCAACAGAAUAAGCACCGGCUAACUUCGUGCCAGCAGCCGCGGUAAUUC
rnacentral:rRNA from 1 species